UAGGAAGAGCUGUAGAGUUUGCAGGUGUCAACCGUGGCCUUAAUAAGCACACUGAUAGCAUCAAUGCCAGACAGAUGGUCCUAUUACUGCUGGAUUGUGCAAGAUAUUUAACACUCUUUUCUUUGAGGUAUGACUUAAAUAUAAAACAUCUUAAAUAAGAAAAGGGAAACA
rnacentral:lncRNA from 1 species